rnacentral:lncRNA from 1 species
UCUACAUUUUUCAUGUUCUAUAUAAAAUACUCAACUAUAUGUCAUUUAUUUUGCUAUCGUAGUUUAAUUGUUCGUUAAUUAGACUUAGUUUUCUUGACUGAUGCAACAAAGAAGCAUAGCAAAAAGUUAGGUUUCCAAAGCCUACAUAAUCUAUCAAGUUAUAUAGUAUAGAUUAAAGUCAAUGAUACGCACUUAACCUCCAUUCAUUCAAAGAAAGAAAAAAAAAGUUUUUUUCCAUUCUUCUUAAUCUUCAGGUACAAAUAUGAAAUCUAGAUAUUUGAUUUUAAUAUUUUU